rnacentral:rRNA from 1 species
GUUGACCUCGGAUCAGGUAGGAAUACCCGCUGAACUUAAGCAUAUCAAUAAGCCGGAGGAACG